AUUUGCCUAAUGCAUACACUGUAAGAGACAGUUAUUUUUCAGUUAUAUUUUUAUAUUUAUUUGUGUAGAUGAUGAUAAAGCCAAAUAUAUGAAAUCUUCUCCACUUCUUACUCUUCUGAAAGAUGUGAAUGACCAGCUCCAAGUUCAUGCGAUGGCAUUUGGGCUUCUGGAAAGCCAUCUGCAGGAAAAAGACACAGGAAGUCCUUUUCAGGAUAUAUUGGAUGCUUUGAUGACUCAUAAAGGUGAACUAAUACCAGUUCAUCCUCCAACACUUUCUGCAAGGGAGUUUGUAAUAUACCAAUAUGGCAUCUCCAUUCUUCAGUUUCUCAGGCCUCAUAUCAAUGCUCCAGAAAUUAACCUGUGUGUUGCCUCCAGCAUACCUCUCAGUAACACCACAGGCAAUGCCUUCCAAAACUCUUUCUUUUAUCAGAUUUCAGAGAAAAAAUUAUUCAUUUUAAGAGAGUAUCUGGGUUGUGUGGGCAGCUUCAUUCUGCUGCUGGUGCACUGUCUGGCUCACAUCACUGCUGCUGACCUCAGCCAUGACUCUAGCCCCACCUUUCAGAGACUGUUUUAUCAGGUAUAAUGAUAUACUAUAUAUCCAGUUACAUUAAGGCACUAACUCUUUGCAAAGAUUUACCUUAUUAA
rnacentral:lncRNA from 1 species